UGCUACACAGACACAAAUACAGGCAAAACAGCUGUACACAUAAAUAGACAAAGUAAAACUUUCUUGGUAGGCCUGAUGACAAGCACCGUGAAAAGCUAAGACUCCAUCCACAAUCUGAAAUGUGGCUCUGUUCUAUAUGGCCUUUCUUCUAACAUAGCACUAACAUGCUUUUUAAGCCGUGAUGAUCUACCUAGCACCCCUCCCAUUGUAUAUUUGUAAAAAUGCACCUCAAUCUCAUGACAGACAGACACGUGAGGAGGGAAAGUGGCCGCUGUUCUCAAGGCAAACACUUAGUAACCACAACAAACCCAUCACUCAGGAGCCUGUCGACAUGGAAACCGGAUGACAACAAUCGAGCCUGCCUUCUUUCCACAUCUCUACAGUAAGGCCAUGGGAAGGUGGAAUCACCUGCGUGACUCACUGCUCUUACCCCAACAAGGCGUGACACACAGAGAUAGGAAAGCCGUCCACUUUCCUCUGAAACUGGUUCUACCCAGGAAGAUGUUAUUUUACCUACCAGGAACCCUUUUUGGAUUCACACUCAGCUCGGAGCAGCAGAAGCGCUCCACCCUGGCAACCAGGACAACACAAAGCAAGCAGAGAUGUAACCAGCGAGUGUGGCUGGGCUUCAAGGAAGCUUCGUGUGCAAAGCCACCGUGCACAGCUGGCUCCCUCUGCCCUAGAGCCCCACACUUCUGUUCAGGGUCCAACUCAAAAGCUCUAUGGCUGCAGGAAAAGAAGGGCCCAGAAAAGAUAGUCUUGCUAGGUAGCCCAGGCUGGCCUCAAACUUGCAAGCAAAUUACAAAGACAAGCAGAGGGAUAAAGACCUGUGUUUGAGGUGGUUAGAAGCCUCCGUGAGUCAAGUGCUUGAUUCCCACGCUUGUUGACCUGAGUGUGAAGCCCGGAAGACACAGUGAAGAGAGAACAAACCUUCAAGAGUUGUUCUCAUGCAUGCCCUAUGACACUCGUGCACACACACAAACAAUAAUAAUAAAAAACUAAAAACAAAAUUUAAGUCCUA